GCGACUUGCCCCGUAAGAAAUUAGAAAAUGCUACAAUAAAAACCUUUUAAAAACUGAAAAAUAUGUGGGAACUUUUUCCUUUUUUUAAUGAACACCCAAGAACCGAACACCGUAACCACACACGUCUCUUCAACUGGAAGUCAGCGAAGUAGCUCAGAAAUCCGAUGCGAGUAGAGUGAGCAUCAGACAGAUUGUGAAGCAGAUCCAGCUUCAGUGCAGAUUUUACAACAGGAAGGCUAAGUAAACAUAAACCCUGGGUUUAUGUCACUGAAUACCGACUAUGUGUUCGGAGGUCUUUUUGGAUGAUCAAGACUAUCUACAUUCUGAGGACUUAAUUUCCUAUCUCCUGUCUUCGUUUGGAUUCGCAUCUAGCUGGCAGUUUCCUGCUACCUUCAUCUCCUGGACCAAGCCGUAAGUGCACCCUGUCCACCCUCCAACGUAAGCAUCUGCACACCGAACUCAUUCCUGUUUGCUCCGAGCUCACACAGAACAUCACCUAAAGAACCCUCUACAAACUCAACCUCAACAGACCUGGUUCCUGAAUCCCUCUACCCCUGGUGACCUGAUCACACCUAUUUAGUAAGCUGUUCUCUUGAUUACAUUAAUUCCUUGUACUUAG